UAGGGAAUCUUCCACAAUGGGCGCAGCCUGAUGGAGCAACACCGCGUGAGUGAAGAAGGGUUUCGGCUCGUAAAGCUCUGUUGUUAAAGAAGAACACGUAUGAGAGUAACUGUUCAUACGUUGACGGUAUUUAACCAGAAAGUCACGGCUAACUACGUGC
rnacentral:rRNA from 1 species